GCAGUGGUGGUUCAGUGGAAGAGUUCUCCCUUUCCAUUCGAUAGACUCAGGUUCAAUUCCUGGUCAAUGCA
rnacentral:tRNA from 1 species